rnacentral:rRNA from 1 species
GACGAACGCUGGCGGCGUGCCUAAUACAUGCAAGUAGAACGCUGAAGGAGGAGCUUGCUUCUCUGGAUGAGUUGCGAACGGGUGAGUAACGCGUAGGUAACCUGCCUGGUAGCGGGGGAUAACUAUUGGAAACGAUAGCUAAUACCGCAUAAUAGUAGAUGUCGCAUGACAUUUGCUUAAAAGGUGCAAUUGCAUCACUACCAGAUGGACCUGCGUUGUAUUAGCUAGUUGGUGAGGUAACGGCUCACCAAGGCAACGAUACAUAGCCGACCUGAGAGGGUGAUCGGCCACACUGGGACUGAGACACGGCCCAGACUCCUACGGGAGGCAGCAGUAGGGAAUCUUCGGCAAUGGACGGAAGUCUGACCGAGCAACGCCGCGUGAGUGAAGAAGGUUUUCGGAUCGUAAAGCUCUGUUGUAAGAGAAGAACGAGUGUGAGAGUGGAAAGUUCACACUGUGACGGUAUCUUACCAGAAAGGGACGGCUAACUACGU